rnacentral:misc_RNA from 1 species
UAUCAUCAACACCAGUAGUUUUACUCCCAUCGAUGGUUUUGGGCUGUUCUUGGGGGAUUUCUUGAUGUGGGUUUUGAUUAGUUGAUGAGGAGUUUAUAGAAGAUGAUAGGAAAGCUGGUGGAGGCUCACUGCUUUCUUGGAGAGUCGUUGAGUUAUUGCUGUUGGGUUCUUCUUCGAUAUGGAGAUAGAUCGGCGUACUUAGAGAUUCUGUCGAUGUGUCAUUAGUGCCCACAUGUGGUAAAUUGAAGGGUUGUGUUGGGCUUUCAAGCUUCAAUCUUUUCUCAACCUGCUUCAGAGAUGAGAAGAAAUUGGAAUGCAGAGACGUUGGUCGCAUUUUGGGUUCGGAUUUUGCAGAAAGCACAAUACGGCCGCUGUGUUAGGAUCCCAUCAAUUGAUAAUAGAG